rnacentral:snRNA from 1 species
GUACUUACCUGGCUGGGAAAUACCACGCUUAGGAAGAUGGUUUUCUUAGGGUGAGGCCCAUCCAUUGCACUGUGGCGCUGAUGCCUGCGAUUUCCUCAAGUAGAGGAAACUCGACUGCCUUC